AACGAACGCUGGCGGCAUGCCUAACACAUGCGAGUCGAACGAGACCUUCGGGUCUAGUGGCGCACGGGUGCGUAACGCGUGGGAACCUGCCCUUAGGUUCGGAAUAACUCCCCGAAAGGGGUGCUAAUACCGGAUAAUGUCUUCGGACCAAAGAUUUAUCGCCUUUGGAUGGGCCCGCGUUGGAUUAGCUAGUUGGUAGUGUAAAAGCCUACCAAGGCGACGAUCCAUAGCUGGUCGGAGAGGAUGAUCAGCCACACUGGGACUGAGACACGGCCCAGACUGCGACGGGAGGCAGCAGUGGGGAAUAUUGGACAAUGAGCGAAAGCCUGAUCCAGCAAUGCCGCGUGAGUGAUGAAGGCCUUAGGGUUGUAAAGCUCUUUUACCCGGGAUGAUAAUGACAGUACCGGGAGAAUAAGCUCCGGCUAACUCCGUG
rnacentral:rRNA from 1 species